rnacentral:rRNA from 1 species
CACUCCUACGGGAGGCAGCAGUAGGGAAUCUUCCACAAUGGGUGCAAACCUGAUGGAGCAAUGCCGCGUGAGUGAAGAAGGUCUUCGGAUCGUAAAGCUCUGUUGUUAGAGAAGAACACGUGCUAGGUAACUACUAGCGCCUUGACGGUAUCUAACCAGAAAGUCACGGCUAACUACGUGCCAGCAGCCGCGGUAAUACGUAGGUGACAAGCGUUGUCCGGAUUUAUUGGGCGUAAAGGGAGCGCAGGCGGUCUGUUUAGUCUAAUGUGAAAGCCCACGGCUUAACCGUGGAACGGCAUUGGAAACUGACAGACUUGAAUGUAGAAGAGGAAAAUGGAAUUCCAAGUGUAGCGGUGGAAUGCGUAGAUAUUUGGAGGAACACCAGUGGCGAAGGCGAUUUUCUGGUCUAACAUUGACGCUGAGGCUCGAAAGCGUGGGGAGCGAACAGGAUUAGAUACCCGAGUAGUCCCAUG